AUAUUUUCAAGCAUAAAUAAAAUGAAAUACAUUUGCGUAUUCAUAUAUUCUUUGAUUGGCCAGUGGGAAAAAGUUACCAAUCUUAACCGACGAAAUUAAGAUUCUUCCUUAUAUCCAUCCAAGGUAGUCAAAAUGAAAAGUACCAUUGCAGCGUGUCCAUGGUGGAGAGCCAAAAUCCCGCCAUACCAAACGCUUUGCAACACCGUUAUAGCGGGUUAUGGCAGAAAAACCCGCAAUAUCGGCUGAUAUUUACCAUUGCAGCGAGCCCAAAACCGCCACACAUAUCCGCGCGCCGCAAUUGCGGAUAUUUGAUAGCACUGAAAGUACCUUAUAUGCUUUAUGUAUUUUCCUUAUAUGCCCUUAUGACACUGGAUCACCUGCUUAGUCCCCUUUAAUACAAUAUAUCACUAGCAAACAAUGUCUUGCCAUGGGUUCUAGUCAAACAAUCAAGAAUCGGGACAACAUGUAUUAAAUAGGAAAAUCUCAAUUACAAGCUUCACCAUUAAAAAAAUUAAUCUGACCCCAAAAGUGUUAACUCAGAAGUAACACCUCUCUCUUUUUCAAAGAAAGUAAGUCUAGAGAUCAGGAUCAAUAUUGUCAAAAUCAAGAAUUUGCUCAGAUCAAAAGGGGAUACCAAGAUUGUAGCACGUAAGAUUGCAACCAAGAUUGUAGCACGUAAGAUUGCAACCAAGAUCGUACCACGUAAGAUUGCAACCAAUAUCGUACCACGUAAGAUCGCAACCAAGAUGGUAAGAUUCUAUCCAAUUAAUUAUGUGAGUUCAAGAGAGGUAGGAGGUUCAUAACAAGGAUUGUAAGGUCCUACUAAAGUUAAAAACUAUACUAUACUAUACUAAAUAUCCUAACGCAUAAAUCAAUAUUUUUAUCAAGUAUUUUAAUAUCAUUGCUUAUUUUUAUAAAAAAAUUAUAUUAUUAUUACUUAGCUAUUAUAUUAUUGGGAACUUAGACUGCCGGGAAACAAAAGGUAUUUCACACCACAUUUAUCUUUUGUUGGGUCAAGCUCAUUUAAGAGAGUAAAGUAACCUUUGUACCAGAAAAGAAAGAAUAAAGUAACCCUAAUUAUCGUGUUAACUUAUAUCCCUUGGUCCCUUACAGCAGAGCACCAUUUCACUUUCUUCUUCUCCCUUCGAACGGUAAAGGAAAAAAGCAACACCCUUCUUUCAACUUCUUCAUCUCUUCAUCAUCUUAUUCUUUUUAAUUGUCUAGUGUGUUGCUAAAUAUAUGUGGGAGAGAGAAGAAAUUGAACGAAACGCAUUGUUUUGUCACAAAUCAGAGAAAAAUUGUUGCACUGUUGCUUCCCGAUUCGUUUUUACGAUCUUGGCUGCGCUUUCACAAUUUCACGAUCUUGGCUAUGAUUUGCACGAUUUCACUACGAUUUUGCUAAGAAAACGAUUUUAUGCAUGAUCUGGAUCGCGGGGGACUAGUAAAAUUGUGAAAUUGCACAAUUAUACGAUCUAAAUCGCGAUUUUGAUAACCUUGAUCAGGAGUCCAAGAAUACUAUGAAAAGUUUAUAACGAUUAUGUCAGUAAAAAAGCAAAAAACUCGGAAUAAAUAAUACUACUUAAAAAAUAUAAUCCAAAGAAUCCUUCUACCAUCUCACUUAAUAGCAUGACAUGCAAUAAGCUUAUAAGAUUCAAAAAACUUAGUCAUGCUUGAUAGGUCAAAACCACAAGAAACACCCUAAACAAACAUAUUGUCUAAAAAGUCGUUGCAUACUUUGACCGCAAUGAAUCACUUGCUCAAUCAUAUCAAAAACUGCAUUUAACGUAUUAACUUUUGGUUGUUUUAGGGUAAAUUGUUUGAACUAAAAAACCAUAAACAUUUCCCACUAUGCAGUACUUAUAAGGAUAUUGGAAAUGCCAAAGGAGAUACAAACAGCAUUCAAUUCCAGUAUCUCAAUACUAUAUAUAGAUUCAAUUCACCAACAUCACAAAUCCAUAGCAAUAUUCUACAAAGCUAGAAAACCAAUUCAACUAAACUGAUAAACCUUAUCAGUUCCACACGAAACUGUUUACACUCAGUCUAGAAAGUAUAAACUAGCACUACACUGCAGUUCUAAUGAAAUGGAAUAAUGGCAUUGAAGUAACUGAGCUAAAAUAUUCAAUAACAAGUCAGAAACUGAACAGUAAGAAUCAUCAUACCUCAAUCACUUCAUCGGGAGAAGAUAUACAAGCCGGUAAAUUAUCCCUACAAACCCUAAUUUUGCACGCAGUGUCUUUUUUAAUCUUCUCCACCACCUUCCCUCCCUUCCCAAUGACAGAGCUAGCUUCCGCCGCAUCAGCAACUAACCUGCAAGACACAAUCCUAUCCCCAAGCUCAACACCUUCCAUCUCCGCCGCAACUUCAAGAAUCCUAUCAAACACUCUCAGCAAUGCUUCUUGUGCAUUCGAAACAUCAAUUGCCUCGCCGCCCAGUAUAACUUUGCCGUCCGGAACACCGGAGGCAAUGACAGUGAUGACUCGGUCAGGUGACUCAUUCGGAGAAUCCUCAAUUCGGAUCUUGGAGCUGGUUGACUGCUGGAGGGUUCUGAUCACGGAGCCGGACUUGCCAAUGACACCGCCGACGCGGGAGGAAUUGCAUAGAAGACGGAAUGUCACUUGUCCGGGAGAAACAGAUAGUGGUUGUUGAGCUUUGGGUGGCUUUGGGCGCUUGGAAUAUCCGUUUAGAAUCGGGUCGGGUAACCCGGAAAUUGGGCGCUUCAAUGGAGGUGGAAAGAAGUUACUUCCCAUAAUCUUGUUCUCUAUGAAACAAAAUGAGAGUUGCAGAAGCUGGAAAAUGAGGAGAGUAAAAUGCGCUAAAGGAAUGUGGCGGGUGCGUACUGCGCCUAGGUUUUCAGAACCCGCGCACUCGUGGACUAUUACAGUAUUAUUACUACUUAAUGUGACGUUUUUGACCGAUAUUGUGAUGUAAUAAUAAUAAUAAUAAUAAUAAUAAUAAUAAUGAUAAUAAUAAUAAUGAAGAUAAUGAUAAUAAUAAUAAUAAUAAUAAUGAUAAGAAUAACAAUAAUAAUAAUAACAAUAAUAGCCAUAAGCCUCGCCGAGAAGAGGGACGAUCAUACGUUCUAUCUAAGACAGCAAAAUGAUCAUGCUUGAGAAAAGUUGUGCCUAGUCGCGAUAUGAGAAAUGCCUGCGAGCUGAUUGGCCUCCAAGAGGAACAUCUCUCCGUCUCCCAUAAGGCUGGUAUCAGCUUGUGAAGAGGGAUUGGCCUCCAUAGAGGAAGAUCUCUCAGUCUCUCAUAGGGACUGGUAUCGCUUGUAAAGAGAUUGCCCCCAAGAGGACAUCUCUCAGUCUCCCAUAGGGACUGGUAUCAGCUAGUAAGAGAGGACUGGCCUCCAAAGGACAUCUCUCAGUCUCCCAUGAGGACUGGUAUCACCUUGUAAAGAGGAUUGGCCUCCAGAGGGACAUCUCUCAGUCGUACAUAGGGACUGAUAUCAGCUUGUAAAGGAGGAUUGGCCUCCAAGAGGAACAUCUCUGAGUCUUACAUAGGGCUGGUAUCAGCUUGAAAGAGGAAGAUUGGCCUACAAAAGAAACAUUUUUUCAGUCUUCCAUAUGGACCGGUAUCAGCUCGUAAAGAGGAUUGACCUCCAAGAGGAACAUCUCUUAGUCUUCCAUAGGGACUGGUAUGCAGCUUGUACAUGAGGAAGGCUCCUUGUUCCAGCACUAUUCUGUGUACCACCAAAAAGAUUAUCUCGAGUCUACCAGUUGCAUUAUAUAAUGCAUCUUGCACGCUUGAAAACUCGCCUGAUAUCUGAGGAGAAAAAGAGUAUAGAUAGGAUAAAUAAAUGCAAGAACUAUCACAAUGACUUGAACAAAAUAUGAUGAACUACACAUUAUAUCUUUGUGUGCAACAUAGAAAUGCUAUGGGAAAAAUUAAUCUCUAUUAGAUCAUAAAUAAGUGCACACUGCAGGGGUCCUUUUUUCUUAAUAAUAGAAGUUGCAUUGAAUUAAGAGAAAAUAGUCACCAAAAAACUACAAUAAAUAUGUUAGUGUGUCAAGUGUUAGUUAGAAGCCUCACAUUAGAUGAAAACUUUUAUAGUGAGAGGACUUGUAGUGUUAAACUCACUUGUCUGGUUGCUCUAGCCCAUAUAUGAUGAUCCCACGGGGUUUUAGGCUCCCGGAAGUCUCAACAAUGUGAUCAGACCAGUUAGUUGAUGGAGAGGCAUGAGUGGUUCUUGGUGCUGAUCAAGGAUGCGGAGAGUCUCACAUGUAUGGGGAGCAACAUAAAAAGAGGACUUAUACCUAAUGCCUUAAGGUUUUGAGUGAAGAUGUGAUCUUCAUUGCUCUAGCUCAGUGUGAUGAUCCCCUAUUUGUCAAUAACUCUAUAGCCCUUUCAAAGGCUUUAUGUCCAUAACACUCAUGAGCCAUAGGCUGACAAUGAGCAGGAUGCCAUUUCUUACCGGUAGAAACAAUAAAUUUCGGUUUCAUAAUCACUAUAAAGAGUGGUAUGAGGUUGAAAGGUAGAGUGGAGCAGGGGUGAUUAGAAAGUGUUAAGAAAUGUGGUUGGGCCUAACUCAACCCUACAAAACGCGGUUGGUAGAGUGGGAUUUCCCCCACUUAUAAACACAUGUUCAAGCCAUAAUUAUCCGAUGUGGAACCCUUAACAGAAAGCUUGUUGAAAGGGGUAGCAGGAGUGGUUUGAGAUGUUGGAUUAAGGAUGUGGAAAGCCGAUUUGUUGAAAGAGGCACCAAUGCCUACUCCUUCUUUAAGCAGAAGUGGAGAGUAUGAGAUGGGGUAGUGCCAUUCAGCAUCCAAAGUUUCCUAAAAUGAAGUAAAAUUAUUAUGAUUUUGUCUGUUUAGGACCACCAGAAAAUAGCAGGCCAAGAAAUGGAGCAGCAGCUAACAAUAUGGGAGAAUCGGUAUCUUCAAGGCAACAAAGGUAAAGAAUAAUAGAAAUUAGCAAAGAAGGAUCAGAAUAUGAAAUGAACUGAAACAUGGGAAUUGGAAAAACCGACAUGGAUGACAUUCAAGAGAAAUGAGUGAAGAUGUGAGUCUCACAAGAGAUGCAGAAUUUGUUGAUAAUGUUGGAGUGAGGGUAGGUUCAAAUGAUGGCUUCAACGCGAUGAGUUGAGCGUCGAUGAGAUGGGAAAGAACAGCGGUGAUGGAACAUUCAAUGUUGCCAACUUGAAGUGAUUGCGUGUUGUUGAGGACUUUGAUGGCAUUUGGGUUGGAUUGAGGUGUUGACAGAUUAGGCCCACAAUUUCACAGCCUCUUAUGGUGCCACAUUAGUAUUUUCAAUCACAAUAUUCGCUAUUACAAAGCCUGCUGAGUAUGUAUGUUUCAGAGAAAGGAUUUACAAUUUCGCAUACCAUAAAAUGUUUAAAUGCCUUAUAAGUAAACAUUAAAGAGUUUUGGCAAAAAGUAAGAGAUGCACGACUAGCACAAUAAACUUAGCAUGAUGGAGGAUGAGAAACUUUUUUGGAGAGAUUUGUUAGAAUUGCAGAUACAAACACAAUCAACAUUGAUAAAAAUAAAUGAUUCUUCAGCAGUUUAAUGCUAAAAUAAAUAAAAGAAGUGCCAUCUCCAAAUUCAAACCUGUACAACUUGAUCAUUAUCUGACACACUUUUAGAAACCUGAUCAGUUCCAAUUAUUCGUAUGCUAGCCUCUGUUGCCCUCCUCAUUUCUGACACUACUACUCCCGCCUUUUCCUAACAAACAACCGACUUGGUUUGAUGGACUACAAGUUGUGCAGUCACGGGUAAACCUGUAUUUAAUCCAGGAUUAUCCCUUUCUCAAUACCAGCCUCAAAGAGACUGGAGAAAACAAGCACCACGGCCCUUUGUGCUGGGGAAUACUUGACUCGGGAUUCUGCAAUAAAAAUGAAGCCACCACCAACAGAAAACGUUAAUAAAAACGUAACAAUAAAGAUACACAUACAACAAAUACGCACAGAGGAAUGAAGGAGUAAAACAGAAAGAAUUAAUUGAACAAACCUCUGAAGCGGUAAUAGUAAUCAAUCGAUCCUCACAUUUAGCUACUGAAGGACCCACACUUACAGUGGCCCUGUCUCACUUUGAAGGCUUUAAUUAUGUUCCCACCUUUUCCAAUGAUACCCUCCAACUCUAUCGUUGGAAACAAUAAUUUUGAAGUUGAUUUCUUGCUGAUUGUGCUUUUGAUUCUUGGAUGAGACUCUUAUUACUUCUGCUGACAAGGAAUGAACUCCAGUAGCAUAGCUGUUAGGCAAUUAUGUGAAGUAGAGAGUGAUGAGCCUCUUUGCAGAAGAUGAUCCACAUGCAGAUCAGUUAAUGUCUCGCGUGGAGCUGGCAAUUAAAGUCUCACGUGGAGCUCCAAUAAAAGUAUCAUGGUGAAGCUGAAUUUAAAGUCUCACGAGGAACUCCAACUAAAAGCUUCUUGAGGAUUUUGUCCUAUCAUCUUUGUUCUAUCAGCAUGAUGACCAUCUUGAAGACGAUGAGAGACCGCACAACAAGUGCCUUCUUACGGAUGACACGCUGCCUUCUAUCUACCAACAAAACCAAAAGAUGUGUUGUCUAAGUAUAAAUAAAGAGAAUAUUUUCAAGCAUAAAUAAAUGAAUACAUUUGCGUAUUCAUAUAUUCUUUGAUUGGCCAGUGGGAAAAAUUACCAAUCUUAACCGACGAAAUUAAGAUUCUUCCUUAUAUCCAUCCAAGGUAGUCAAAAUGAAAAGUACCAUUGCAGCGUGUCCAUGGUGGAGAGCCAAAAUCCCGCCAUACCAAACGCUUUGCAAACACCGUUAUAGCGGGUUAUGGCAGAAAAACCCGCAAUAUCGGCUGAUAUUUACCAUUGCAGCGAGCCCAAAACCCGCACACAAUAUCCGCGCGCCGCAAUUGCGGAUAUUUGAUAGCACUGAAAGUACUUUAUAUGCUUUAUGUAUUUUCCUUAUAUGCCCUUAUGACACUGGAUCACCUGCUUAGUCCCCUUUAAUACAAAUAUUAUCACUAGCAAACAAUGUCUUGCCAUGGUUUCUAGUCAAACAAUCAAGAAUCGGGACAACAUGUAUUAAAUAGGAAAAUCUCAAUUACAAGCUUCACCAUUAAAAAAUUAAUCUGACCCCAAAAGUGUUAACUCAGAAGUAACACUCUCUCUUUUUCAAAGAAAGUAAGUCUAGAGAUCAGGAUCAAUAUUGUCAAAUCAAGAAUUUGCUCAGAUCAAAAGGGGAUACCAAGAUUGUAGCACGUAAGAUUGCAACCAAGAUUGUAGCACGUAAGAUUGCAAACAAGAUCGUACCACGUAAGAUUGCAACCAAUAUCGUACCACGUAAGAUCGCAACCAAGAUGGUAAGAUUCUAUCCAUUAAUUAUGUGAGUUCAAGAGAGGUAGGAGGUUCAUAACAAGGAUUGUAAGGUCCUACUAAAGUUAAAAACUAUACUAUACUAUACUAAAUAUCCUAACGCAUAAAUCAAUAUUUUUAUCAAGUAUUU
rnacentral:lncRNA from 1 species